UACGAAGGGGGCUAGCGUUGUUCGGAAUCACUGGGCGUAAAGGGCGCGUAGGCGGCUUUAUAAGUCGGGGGUGAAAGCCUGUGGCUCAACCACAGAAUUGCCUUCGAUACUGUAGAGCUUGAGACCGGAAGAGGUAAGUGGAACUGCGAGUGUAGAGGUGAAAUUCGUAGAUAUUCGCAAGAACACCAGUGGCGAAGGCGGCUCACUGGUCCGGUUCUGACGCUGAGGCGCGAAAGCGUGGGGAGCAAACAGG
rnacentral:rRNA from 1 species